rnacentral:rRNA from 1 species
CCUACGGGAGGCAGCAGUAAGGAAUAUUGGUCAAUGGGCGAAAGCCUGAACCAGCCACGCCGCGUGAAGGAAGACGGCCCUACGGGUUGUAAACUUCUUUUCUACGGGAAUAAACCUCAGGACGUGUCCUGAGCUGAAGGUACCGUAGGAAUAAGGAUCGGCUAACUCCGUGCCAGCAGCCGCGGUAAUACGGAGGAUCCAAGCGUUAUCCGGAUUUAUUGGGUUUAAAGGGUGCGUAGGUGGGAGAAUAAGUCAGAGGUGAAAGCUAGCAGCUUAACUGUUAAAUUGCCUUUGAUACUGCUUUCCUUGAGUCUAGUUGGCGUUGGCGGAAUGUGACAUGUAGCGGUGAAAUGCGUAGAUAUGUCACAGAACACCGAUCGCGAAGGCAGCUAGCGAAGCUAGUACUGACACUGAUGCACGAAAGCGUGGGGAGCAAACAGGAUUAGAUACCCUGGUAGUCCACGCCGUAAACGAUGAUAACUCGACGUUGGCAAUAUACUGUUCAGCGUCCAAGCGAAAGCGUUAAGUUAUCCACCUGGAGUACGANCGCAGUAGAACGACGAAGAAGUAGACGCGUGAGACGUGCGACGGACGACGACGAGGGAGGAGG